rnacentral:misc_RNA from 1 species
AACGCACAUUGCACUCUGUUUCGGCAGAGUAUGCCUGUUUGAGAAUCUAUAGUAUUCUUUCUGCAUGGGAUUUCCAGGCAGAGACUUGGGGCGUCUGUGUCAACAGUGCCCUCAAUAGCAUAAGACGGUCGCCGUCUGCGAAAAGUAUGCGCACGAAACCUCGGUUUCUCUUAUACUGACUAGCGCCAGCGAACCACCGUCUCUUGAACAAUGGUCUCAAAUCAGGCAAGAGGACCCGCUGAACUUAA